AGUUCGCCCACACAUGGAAUACUGCUCUCAUCUGUGGGCAGGGGCACCCCAAUACCAGCUUCUCCCUCUGGACCGCAUCCAACGAAGAGCGGCUCGAAUUGUCGACUACCAGUGUCUUUCGGAACGGCUUGAGUCCUUGGCGCUGUGUAGAGAUGUGGCCUCGCUCUGCAUUUUCUAUCGCAUGUAUAACGGGGAGUGCUCCAAGGAAUUCUUCGGAUUAAUCCCUUCCGCUUCUUUUCGCCAUCGCCCUACGCGACAACAUUACCAUCUUCAUCGCUUGGAUGGUUGGCAGACCUCAACUGUGUGUUUCUCCAGAAACUUCCUGCCCCGCACAGCCAAACUCUGGAAUGAACUGUCGCCUGCGGUAUUUCCGGAUCGAUGCGGCCUUCAAACCUUCAAGAAAAGAGCGUACUCCUAUCUUAAAGGCCAGCAACGCGCUUGCAACCCUUCUGGUGUUGCGGGUGUCCAUGGGCGGCGGUAAUCGCUUACCAUCAGGUGAUCCGUCUGCUCGUUUGCCUCCUAUUUGAUAAAAAAAAAAUAACUAUGUUAUACUUCUUAAGCGGCUACCGGAGUUCCAAGUCAUAUUGGAAAUUCACCAGUUACGAUGUGCUACCCAUACUAAUUUUAAUUUUUAACAAGCAGAAACGUCUGCGAACGAUGCUAUUAAGCUUAGAAUAAAUUUAAAAGUGGAAAAAUUACUGUCUU